AGCCAGGGUUGCCUUUUAAGGGUUCCGGACAGCCAAACUCUCGGGGCACGCACGAGUCUCCAACAGCAGAAGCGAUAGCUGUUCCAACAAGCCACGGUGUUCAAACUGUCCCCUUUCUCAUUUGUUCGCUUGUUGCACCGGCGACCCGACCGCAGAACCGGGCGUGGAGGCUGUGCUGCCGACUCCAGACGCAGGAGUGGCCCUGCUAGCCGGUUGUUGAGCUUCUGCCUUCAAUAAGUUAUGGAGAUCAUUGAAAGAGAUGUUUCAUCUGCUUGUGUAAAGGAACCAAGUGUGUCCAGCCAGCAGGGGUUCCCGAAUAUUGUGGCUUGUGAUAUAGAGGUAGAUCAGCAUGCCAAGUCAGCUCCUGCAACAGGCAGCAAGAGGAAGAGUC